rnacentral:rRNA from 1 species
UAGGGAUACCCGCUGAACUUAAGCAUAUCAAUAAGCGGAGGAAAAGAANNCANCAGGGAUUNCCUCAGUAACGGCGAGUGAAGCGGUAACAGCUCAAAUUUGAAAUCUGGCCCUUUUAGGGUCCGAGUUGUAAUUUGUAGAAGAUGCUUNGGGUGUGGUCCGGGUCUAAGUUCCUUGGANCAGGACGUCAUAGAGGGUGAGAAUCCCGUAUGUGACUCGGCGCCUUCGCCCGUGUAAAGCUCUUUCGACGAGUCGAGUUGUUUGGGAAUGCAGCUCAAAAUGGGUGGUAAGUUUCAUCUAAAGCUAAAUAUUGGCCAGAGACCGAUAGCGCACAAGUAGAGUGAUCGAAAGAUGAAAAGCACUUUGGAAAGAGAGUUAAACAGUACGUGAAAUUGUUGAAAGGGAAGCGCUUGCAACCAGACUUAGCUGCUGUCGAUCAUCCGGGGUUCUCCCCGGUGCACUCGGUAGCAUCUAGGCCAGCAUCGGUUUGGGUGGUGGGAUAAAGGCCUUGGGAAUGUAGCUUCUUUCGGGGAGUGUUAUAGCCCUCGGUGCAAUGCCGCCUACCCGGACCGAGGACCGCGCUUCGGCUAGGAUGCUGGCGUAAUGGUUGUAAGCGACC